GCCCUUCGGGGCCUACGGUGAACUGAAAAUAUACAGAGAAGAUUAGCAUGACCCCUACCCUAAGGAUGACACGCAAUCAAACAGAAGCUCCGUAUCUUUUC
rnacentral:snRNA from 1 species